UGCCCAGAAAGGUCUGGAAACAGGAGAGAGCAUGGGGUAUUCUGCUGUGAACACUCCAUACAGGCUGGCUGGUGGGCCAUGAAAGGUUGUGAAUCCUACAAAGGGCCCAGGCCAGAUCUGGGGAUCAGCGGAGAGCCCUUGGCCGGCUGAGUGACUGUCACCUUUGGCUAGGUGACAUGAGGAGGUGCGGCAGGCAGCCAGGGUGGUUCAGGAAGCCAGUGCAAUCACCAGAUGCUGGCUCCGGGCAUCAGCGAAGGCAGCCGAAGCCCAGGGGUCUAAGUAGCUAUCAUACUGCUACUCCCACUUCCAAAGCAGUAAACCAAAGCUAAAAGUCAAUGGUUCCUAUCCGGAUGAUGGAACAAAUGGAUGGGAGCACCAGGGCCUGACUUCCCCGGGACCUUGAGGCCAAGGCUGGACUCCUUCCAGAUGGCGGGGCCCAUGGGGUCACCAGAUGGCCGCAGACCCGCUUAGACGACACCUGCUAUCCUUGCUCCAGAGCUCAUUUCCUCCUCACAAGUAGGAAAUGUUUCAGUGCCAAGGAUCAUGCCUGGCUGAGAGUCAGGCUUAAACAGACCCCUACUAAACACCCACUGCUCAGUACAGGAAACCCCUGCAUGUGCAUAGCCAAAGGCAAGACCACAGAUUGGGUUACCUUGCUCUGAUCACCUUGCAGCUACAGCCUGGUCUGUGGGGAGUUCUGGCAGAUUUAGGUGAAUGGAGUGAAGGCAAAGAGGCUGAGGCUGUGUGAAGGGGGUAAGGCAGAAAGGGCCUGGGAGAGAGCAGAGCUACCGUGGGGAGAGGAGGGAAGUCGAGGGGCUGAGAAGAGAAACUGGGACAGAGGUCUUCCUUUUCCUAAAACCCCAGCAGGUCAGAGCCCUCUGCCUAAUAGAGCACUUUCUUGGUACUUCCAUCGAUAGUUCAGGUCAAAGUGGACCUUAGCUGGGGGAGCGGGGUACUUGUCUGCUCUUCUAAUCCCUCCGUGGCUCCCAUGGGCCUCAGUUCUGCCCAGAGCUCUGCACAACACAGCUUAGCUGAUUCACAUCGGGCUCCUCAUUUUACAGAUGGAGAAACCAAGUCCACACAGGUUCAACCAGAUAAGGAGCUGACAGGAGAGGCAGGCCUCCAGCCCCCGCCACUCUGAUGUUCACCCCCAUGCUCAUGAUCCGCCCAUAGUGAGCUGGAUUUUCUGAUGAUGACCAGCAUCCCCCCCCCCCGCCCCGCCCCAGUACAGCCAACUCAAACAGGCUUCUCAGUUGCUCAAACCCUACCCUCUGGUCUACCCUCCACCCCAGA